UGACGGCGUACCUUUUGUAUAAUGGGUCAUCGACUUGGUCUAUCUAGCAAGCUUAAGCCGUUAGGUGUAGGCGCAGCGAAAGCGAGUCUUAAUAGGGCGCAUGAGUUAGAUGGAUCAGACCCGAAACCGAGUGAUCUAGGCAUGACCAGGAUGAAGGUAAGGUAACACUUACUGGAGGUCCGAACCCACACCUGUUGAAAAAGGUCGGGAUGAGUUGUGCCUAGGGGUGAAAGGCCAAUCAAACUCGGAGAUAGCUGGUUCUCUGCGAAAUCUAUUUAGGUAGAGCGUCAUCCGAAUACCCUCGGGGGUAGAGCACUGGAUGGGUAAUGGGGCCCCACAGGCUUACUGAUCCUAACCAAACUCCGAAUACCGAGGAGUACUAGAUGGCAGACAGACUGCGAAUGCUAACGUCCGUAGUCGAGAGGGAAACAACCCUGACCUACAGCUAAGGCCCCCAAUUCAUGGCUAAGUGGGAAAGCAGGUGGGACGACCAAAACAACCAGGAGGUUGGCUUAGAAGCAGCCAUCCUUUAAAGAUAGCGUAACAGCUCACUGGUCUAAAUAAGUUGUCCUGCGGCGAAGAUGUAACGGGGCUCAAGCCAUGAGCCGAAGCUUAGGAUGCCGUAAGGCAUGGUAGCAGAGCGUAGUGUGACAUAGUUCCAUGUCUCUUUAGCGACUUCGGUCGUUACGGAGACACGGAGCUUUCGAUGAAGCCGGGGCGUGAGCCAUCCGGUGGAGAGAUCACUAGUGAGAAUGAUGACAUGAGUAGCGACAAAGAGUGUGAGAGACACUCUCGCCGAAAGUCCAAGGGUUCCUGCUUAAAGCUAAUCUGAGCAGGGUAAGCCGACCCCUAAGGCGAGGCCGAAAGGCGUAGUCGAUGGGAACCAGGUUAAUAUUCCUGGGCCAGGAAGAAGUGACGGAUCUCGAGGGUAGUUCAUCCUUAUCGGAUUGAAUGGGCUGCUUAGAGGUUCCUGGAAAUAGCUCUUCCGCUAGAUCGUACCCUAAACCAACACAGGUGGACUGGUAGAGAAUACCAAGGCGCUUGAGAGAACUAUGUUGAAGGAACUCGGCAAAAUACCUCCGUAAGUUCGCGAGAAGGAGGCCCGGUUUCUAGGCAACUAGAGGCUGGGGGCACAAACCAGGGGGUGGCGACUGUUUACUAAAAACACAGGGCUCUGCGAAGUCGCAAGACGACGUAUAGGGUCUGACGCCUGCCCGGUGCCUGAAGGUUAAAAGGAGGGGUGAGAGCUCUGAAUUGAAGCCCAGGUAAACGGCGGCCGUAACUAUAACGGUCCUAAGGUAGCGAAAUUCCUUGUCGGGUAAGUUCCGACCUGCACGAAUGGCGUAACGACUUCCCCGCUGUCUCCAACAUAGACUCAGCGAAAUUGAAUUACCUGUCAAGAUGCAGGUUUCCCGCGGUUAGACGGAAAGACCCCGUGCACCUUUACUACAGCUUCGCACUGGCAUCAGGAUUGUGAUGUGCAGGAUAGGUGGUGGGCUUUGAAGCAGAAACGCUAGUUUCUGUGGAGCCUCCCUUGAGAUACCACCCUUCGCACUCUUGAUGUCUAACCGCGGUCCGUUAUCCGGAUCCGGGACCCUGCGUGGCGGGUAGUUUGACUGGGGCGGUCGCCUCCUAAAGCGUAACGGAGGCGCGCGAAGGUUGGCUCAGAGCGGUCGGAAAUCGCUCGUUGAGUGCAAUGGCAGAAGCCAGCCUGACUGCGAGACUGACAAGUCGAGCAGAGUCGAAAGACGGCCAUAGUGAUCCGGUGGUCCCAAGUGGGAGGGCCAUCGCUCAACGGAUAAAAGGUACGCCGGGGAUAACAGGCUGAUACUGCCCAAGAGUCCAUAUCGACGGCAGUGUUUGGCACCUCGAUGUCGGCUCAUCUCAUCCUGGGGCUGGAGCAGGUCCCAAGGGUACGGCUGUUCGCCGUUUAAAGAGGUACGUGAGCUGGGUUUAGAACGUCGUGAGACAGUUCGGUCCCUAUCUGCCGUGGGUGUAGGAUACUUGAGAGGAGUUGCCCCUAGUACGAGAGGACCGGGGUGAACGAACCACUGGUGGACCUGUUGUGGCGCCAGCCGCAGUGCAGGGUAGCUAUGUUCGGACAGGAUAACCGCUGAAGGCAUCUAAGCGGGAAGCCCCCCUCAAAACAAGGUAUCCCUGAGAGCCGUGGUAGACCACCACGUCGAUAGGCCAGAGAUGUAAGCACAGUAAUGUGUUCAGUUGACUGGUACUAAUUGCUCGAUAGGCUUGAUU
rnacentral:rRNA from 1 species